rnacentral:tRNA from 1 species
GAGGGUAUAGCUCAGUGGUAGAGUAUGUGCUUAGCAUGCACGAGGUCCUGGGUUCAAUCCCCACUAUCUGUU